rnacentral:misc_RNA from 1 species
GAAAUGCGAUAAGUAGUGUGAAUUGCAGAAUUCAGUGAAUCAUCGAAUCUUUGAACGCACAUUGCGCCCCUCGGCAUUCCGUGGGGCAUGCCUGUUCGAGCGUCAUCUACACCCUCAAGCUCUGCUUGGUGUUGGGCGUCUGUCCCGCCUCCGCGCGCGGACUCGCCCCAAAUGCAUUGGCAGCGGUUCCUUGCCCCCCUCUUUGCGCAGCACAUUGCCAUUCGAGGCGGCGGCGGCCCGCGUCCAACAAGCUCAACCCCCCCGGCUUUGACCUCGGAUCAGGUAGGGAUACCCGCUGAACUUAAGC